rnacentral:tRNA from 1 species
GAGGGUAUAGCUCAGUGGUAGAGUGUGUGUUUAGCAUGCACGAGGUCCUGGUUCAAUCCCCAGCACCUCCA